rnacentral:lncRNA from 1 species
CUUAAACAAUCUCAAUUACAGGGCCAUCCCCAUAUCCCUUCCGGUAUGAGCGCUAAGACAUUAAACCUCAAUACCCCGUCCGGUAUGAGGGUGAAGCGAGCCGUCCCCAUACCCCAUCCGGUAUGAGUGCCAAAUUACCAAGUCUCCAUACCCCGUCCGGUAUGAGACAACGUUCACGGUAGGGUUCCCUAUGUACCCGGUUCGUCUACUAUCUCCCAGGAUAUCUAGUAAGACUCUCAUUUUAUAUGUUUAUUUGAUCACACCCAUUUCCUGUUUUUCCUUAGUUUGCAUUACCAAAUCAAAUAUAAUCAUAUAAACAAAUAAACAUGCAUUCGAUAAUGCA